rnacentral:tRNA from 1 species
UGGCUCAGUGGUAGAGCACUUGCCUAGCAUGCAUGAGGUACUGGGUUCGAUUCUCAG